UAAUGCCAACAUGAGCUCCUAGGAACCCA
rnacentral:sRNA from 1 species